CGUCCCUCAAGUUAAAAGGGGAAGUGAAAGAGGGGAGAGUGACUGCGUCCUGCUGUGCUCUGUGGAAAACUGGAACAACACAUCUCUGUCCUGGCAAAGAAACGGGACUGCACUGACCCAACCAACCUCACGACACUCAACCCAACUGGACCUUUCCCACCACCAAAUACGGGGGGUAAAUGCUACCUUCAGGUACACCUGUGUGGCCAGCAACCCUGUCAGCAAUCAGACCAUCACUGUCACACCUUCGGAUUACUGUCCUCUCAAAGAAAGAGGAGGCCACACUGAGCUCAUCCUGAGGGUGCUGGUGUUCAUAGUGCUGACUGGAGUUGUCAUCGCAGUCUGUGUGUGGGUCUGGAAGAAGGGGAACGCUCAGGAUGAAUGCAGGAAUUAAAGAACAGAGGAAACGCUUUGAAAAUACACCCCAUGGGGUCCUUGAGUGGAUCACCUGGUAAAAACACUGCUGCGUGGUGUGCGGGGUGAGCCAAACAGUCUGGAGCUUGCUGGUUUGAAUCCAGCCUGUGCGAGGCAGCUGGGGAUUCCAAAGAGGCACCGCAUUGGCUCUGGCUUCUCCGGGUUAGGGAGGUGGGGUUCCGGCAGACACGGUUUCUCCACAUCGCUCUUCAGCGACCCCUACAGGCCGAGUGAGCUUGGGGGUGGAGAUUUCCUUUGCUGGCCCCUGUCCUCCAGGGACAAGCCUGCUGACAUCCGCUCUCAAGUUCCUCGGUGUUGAAUGCAGAUUACAGCUAGCGUCACUGUUUUACCUGUGAAACUUUAGAGUGGUUCAGCCUGGAGAAUUGAAGGCUGUGUCAUUUUCUGUGUUUAGUCCAUAGGGUGUACACCAGAAAUGCUCCAAGUUACCUUGCACCUCUGGUACGAGACUUUCAACUCUACCUGUGCACUAAGAUCAAAUGAUGUGCCUGCUUUUAAAAUCCCUAAACUGAGAUCUAAUCUGGGCCAGCGUGCCUUUGUAUAUCAAGCAUCUCAUCUCUGAAAUUUUUUGCCUUAGAACAGAAAAACAGCCUCUUCACAAUACCUUUAAAAUCACUCAAAUAUUUAUUAUAAAUCUGACCAGGGUUUAUAAUUGCACCAUUGAUCUUCCUGACCAGGGUCGCAAAUCCUGUAAAUAUCGAUUAUGACCAGGAUCAUGGAAACUGGAAUUGUUUUGACUUUUUUAUGCUUUAAUUUGUAUUCAUGUAUCUUGUGUUUCUUCCCAUAGGAUUGAUGAAACUGGUCUUUAGUCCGGCCAGCAGACAGACCCCAAUCUCCCAACUGAGUAUGAGCAAGACCAGCCCUAAGCAAAUGUAAAGAGCCACUCGGUACUUAGUUAUCUUAACUGGGGUGCUAUUCGUGGUGUUGAGAUUCAGCCUGUAUGUCGUUUUCUGUUGAGUCACAUUCUGGUUAAAUGUCUUUACUUCCUGUUUUAGAUAACGGUGAUGUUAUUUAUAACAUGGCCUCCAAAAGCCUACUGAUGAAACUGCAGUAUAUUAGGGAAUUACACUGUACUAAGCAGUUUGCUUGUGGAAUCGGAUUGGUAUUAUUAACCUUAAACACACUUUGUGGGGUACAAACUGUUCUUCUUUCGAGUGAAAGAUGAUGAUCUGUUGUACAAUUAAAAGGUCAAAAAAAACCAAAAAAACUGCUGAAUGACUUUACUGAAACUACUGAAACACACUGCUGUGCAUUUUUUAUAGGAAUUGAAUGUUUUCUGUAACUUUUUUCAUUAGAGAAUUACACCAAGCAGUUGACUUGUGGAAUCAGGGUUCAGUAUUCUUAACAUAUGUCUUAGAAGUGUCUUUGAAGGGCAGCAGUGUGGAGUAGUGGUUAGGGCUCUAGACUCUUGAUCAGAGGGUCGUGGGUUCAAUCCCCACUGGGGACACUGCUGCUGUACCCUUGAACAAGGUUCUUUAUUUAGAUUGCUCCAGUUAAAAACCCAACUGUAUAAAUGGGUAAUUGUAUGUAAAAAUAAUGUGAUAUCUUGUAACAAUUGUAAGUCACCCUGGAUAAGGGCGUCUGCUAAGAAAUAGAUAUUAAUUAAUUAAUAAUGCUCUUUCCUAUCAGCUGCUUUCUUGCACUAAUACUGCAUAUUUAUUUUAUAAUUAACUGUCAAGCUGGGUGAUUGCAGUGGGUAUAAUAUACAUUGAGGCUGAAAUUUGAAAUGCAAUGUGAUGCAGCCUAAAGCGAUGCUAGCCAUAAGAUUUUCUUACUUGUUAAAAAGUGAUCAAGUUGUUUAAUUUCCAGUCUUGUAAAAUUGUAAUUUACAAUGACGUACAUUUAAAAUUUGAAUGUAAAAAUGUUAUAUCGAUUUAAAAAUUGUAUCCUUUCGGAGAAAUUGGGAGGAAAUAAAACUCGGAGGAAAUGUUUUCGAGAAUAUUCCUUUGUACCUCCUGCCUUGCUACUUGUUAAAAUUACAACAUUCAGUGCUAACCAAGGCUUUAAGAUCCAUUUUCUACCUCAAGACACGGACGCAGGUGGAAAGCUGCUGCUGUUUCCUGGUACGAAACCAUUUCCUUGUCGCGCUCCAGUAUAGAAUAAUAACCUGUGGCGACAGGAAGUAGCAAAACUAAACAGCUUAACGCAUUAAUAAGAUGGGAUGUGAGGCCAGAAGGGGUGUAACAAUUCAUUGUGUAUCUGUUGUUUGUAUUGUGACUCAAAACCCCAAAGCACAUCACAGAGCUGUCUGUUUCACCAAGUGGCUCUGAUAGCUGCUACAAAUACAUCCUCUCCCUGUUGCAUUAAAUGUUUGACUUUUAACUAAACUGGCUCACUAUUGGGCCUAAAUGGCCAUUUGAUCUCAGCAUGCAUUAUCCAAGUAUCCCAUCAGGACCAUCUCAAGCACUGCGAUGCGUAUCCUAACACUAGCGUAUCAUUACACUCCUAGGCCAGUGAAUGUAACUCUUGCCAUCUCUGACCAAUUUAUAAGCUGUAUUUUGUUUGUAAUGGUUGUCUGUAUG